rnacentral:rRNA from 1 species
UGGGGAAUCUUGCACAAUGGGGGAAACCCUGAUGCAGCGACGCCGCGUGAACGAUGAAGCCCUUCGGGGUGUAAAGUUCUUUCGACGGGGACGAUAAUGACGGUACCCGGAGAAGAAGCUGCGGCUAACUACGUGCCAGCAGCCGCGGUAAUACGUAGGCAGCAAGCGUUGUUCGGAAUUACUGGGCGUAAAGAGUGCGUAGGUGGUUGGCCAAGUUUGGUGUGAAAUCUCCCGGCUUAACUGGGAGGGUGCGCCGAAAACUGGUUGACGAGAGUGUGGGAGAGGGACGUGGAAUUCCUGGUGUAGCGGUGAAAUGCGUAGAUAUCAGGAGGAACACCUGCGGUGUAGACGGCGUCCUGGACCAUGACUGACACUGAGGCACGAAAGCGUGGGGAGCAAACA